UUUGUACCGCGAUACUACCCAUCCCGAUACUGAAGUCAAAGGCCGCUCGAGAACGUUCGCACGGGUCUGCAAGGGGAUUAAAUCGGAACAUAAUAUGAUAUUUCGACGUAUUUCGCCCUCAAACUAAGCCUUCGUUUUUUAUUGGACAUUUAACGGACUAUGGUCGCUGGAGAAGCAAUAAUAUUCGUGUUUGUAUGCGCGUAUCCUGGAAAUAUUUGAGUGUUGUUCUUCUUUAGCGCUAGCCGCGCAGGGAGUUCACUCCGAUGUUUUUAUUAAUGAAACAAAUGACGACGUUAACCAAUGGGAACAUCUAGCAUCGGUCGGGAACACCUAAGGGCACUCUUGUAAAAGUCUGAUACUCAAAUUUAAAGUCUGUGGAGCAUCUGACGCAGGAUUCCCUGGACUACUAAAGCAGCAGCAGUCGUUUACUUUCACUGGAUUUUAGUCCGACUCAUUCUCCCUCAGCCAUGGAAUCGAUCCAUCCACCUUCCCCAUCUACUCUGACCAUCUUCCCUGUAUCUUCUGAAGAAAAGCAUCUCCACAGCAUGAUGUUGCCACCACCAUAUUUAACAGUGGGGUUGGUGUGUUCAGGGUGAUAGUGUGCAGUGUUAGUUUUCCGCCACACAUAGCGCUUUGCAUUUAGGCCAGAAAGUUCAACUUUGGUCUCAUCUGACCUUCUUCCACAUGUUUUCUUUAUAACCUAACCCUGCUUAAAACUUCUCCACAACUUUAUCCCUGACCUGUUUGGUGAAUUCCUUGGUCUUCAUGAUGUUGUUGUUCCAGUGUUCUCUAACAAACCCCUGAGGCCUUCACAGAACAGGUGUAUUUAUAUGAGAGUAAAUUACACACAGGUGGCCUCUAUUUACUCUUUAGGUGACUUCUGAAGGCAAUUUAUUAGACAAUGUAUUUAGGGGUAUCAGAGUACAGGGGGACUAUAGCUGCUUGACUAAUUUGGAUUAUAAUGGUUUUCAAUUGAUCCCCAACUGUCUAGUUUCAGUUUCAGUACACCAAAAAAAAAAGGUUGAUUUAAAUCUUGAAGAAGACAAUGUCAAUGAACCCGCUGAGGUCUUUACUAACCGGCCAAGUCUUUUAAUUGAGCUCUGUAGUUAUCUGAUGUGUGCUCUAAAAUGGAGCUCUGUUCUGGUAAUCUGUCUUAUAGUUAUUAUAAUGAUGAUUAGCUCUCUGAUGGAGCUCUGUAGUUAUGGGAUGUGACCUCUAGGAUGGAGCUCUGUGAUGGAUAAAAAGCCUGAAUGAGAACAAGAAGGACAGGUCUUUGCCUAAAGCUCUAGGGUG